CCUACGGGAGGCAGCAGUGGGGAAUCUUAGACAAUGGGCGCAAGCCUGAUCUAGCCAUGCCGCGUGGGUGAUGAAGGCCUUAGGGUCGUAAAGCCCUUUCGCCGGGGAUACGGUACCCGGUAAAGAAACCCCGGCUAACUCCGUGCCAGCAGCCGCGGUAAUACGGAGGGGGUUAGCGUUGUUCGGAAUGACUGGGCGUAAAGCGCGCGUAGGCGGGCUGGAAAGUUGGGGGUGAAAUCCCGGGGCUCAACCCCGGAAUGGCCUUCAAAACUCCCAGCCUAGAGUUCGAGAGAGGUGAGUGGAAUUCCGAGUGUAGAGGUGAAAUUCGUAGAUAUUCGGAGGAACACCAGUGGCGAAGGCGGCUCACUGGCUCGAACUGACGCUGAGGUGCGAAAGCGUGGGGAGCAAACAGGAUUAGAUACCCUUGUAGUC
rnacentral:rRNA from 1 species